AUUGAACGCUGGCGGCAGGCCUAACACAUGCAAGUCGAGCGGAGCGGCGGACGGGUGAGUAAUGCAUAGGUAGCUGCCUGGUAGUGGGGGAUAAAGUCCGGAAACGGGCGCUAAUACCGCAUACUAUCAGAUGAGCCUAGGUAGGAUUCGGUAGUUGGUGGGGUAAAGGCCUACCAAGGUGACGAUCCGUAACUGGUCUGAGAGGAUGAUCAGCCAGACGGGAAAUGAGAUACGGUCCAGACUCCUACGUGAGGCAGCAGUGGGGAAUAUGGGACAAUGGGCGAAAGCCUGAUGCAGCCAUGCCGCGGGUGUGAAGAAGGUCUUCGGAUUGUAAAGCACUUUAAGUUGGGAGGCGUUACCAACAGAAUAAGCACCGGCUAACUGCGUGCCAGCCGCCGCGGUAAUUC
rnacentral:rRNA from 1 species